CGGGGGGGGGGUGGGGGUUCGAUUAGCCUGCGAGGCGAGAGGGUGGGUAUCGGCGUACUGCUCAGGGGCAACACCCUCCCCCUAGGUAAGGGAUACCCCGGUAAAGGAAUAAUACCCUAUAGGUUACAGAUGCUGGAAUGCCCUGUAACCCAAAGUUCCGACGCCCUAGGAUGGAUCUGCGGCCGAUUAGGUUGUUGUUGGGGUAAUGGCCCAACAAGCCCGUAAGGGGUACGGGUUGUGGGACCAGAGCCCGGAGUUGGAUUCUGAGACACGAAUCCGGGCCCUACGGGGCGCAGGGGGGGUAACUUUACAAUGCGGGAACCGGGUAAGGGACCUCGAGUGCCUGUAAAGCCGGUUGGUCAGGCCCCUAAAACACACCAAAGAAAGGGCCGGAAAC
rnacentral:rRNA from 1 species